GUCAUGUCAAAGCUCCGUCUCCGAUGCUUUCAAGUGCUGCGAAAGCAUCAAAUGCAGCCCGGGUGCCAGGGGUGAAAGACGCCAGCUUGCGGGGCCGCUACAAGAGCCUCCACAAAGAUUCGUCAGUGUGGGGAAGGCUCUUUCUGCUGGCAUUCAUCGAAGACCAGUUGGAAAGCAGAAGGUAAAGUGUCGAGGAUGUGAUAUUGUGAAUAAAAUUCCUUUUAGUACACAGAAUCCUUGGUUUCCUUUUUCUUUCUUUCUUCCCCCUUCCCAACAAAGGUACCCAUGCUGGCUUUACUAGUGGGCUAGGACUUAACGGUAGUUGCUUCGUUGUAAGUAACUUUUGUUUAGGCGAGGAAAAUUUAAUUUUCUCGUGUGUAAGAGAGCAGGUUGCAGAGAUCCCACCCCCUCUAUAGCAGACUAAAUAAAUGCACAUAAAUAGCAGACGAUCCGUGUGGCAAUAUAUUCACGUUAUUCUCCUUUAAUUUCACAGUUUCCUACAUUUUCUCCGAGAACAUUUGGUUGUAAUGUAAACUGAGCGCUUGUGACUUUUUGACACCGUGUGGCUUUCUCCUAGUAACCCGUGUUAGACGAGAGUCUGUUGGCGAUUGAGAGAUCCGUUUUCUUGGGGUCAAAAUUCACAGGGCCUGGAAAAUUGACAACGUCUGUGCCAAAAAUCAGACAGGCCUGUACAUGAAAGUGAUCGCAUGGGGACUGUUGUCAAGAUUCAAAGCGAGAUUUCCCAGUCAAUUUGUGUGUACAUUCUGGGUGUGAGGAGAGAGCUACACACUGGGUCAUAUGGACUAUGACAUACGGAGAACCCACACAAAUAAAGACUGCUUGACAGAAAGAACAGGUCGGGUCAAAUGCUAUGCUAUGUACGAACACACGGGGCAGAUUGCAAACGUCAACACCCCAAAUAUUCGUCACAGAAAAUCAGUCUUGCACUGCCAAGUUUCAAUAUUUCGUUGCACAUGAAUAGUACGAACAUUCACAUAUAUAGGAACGCUACCCCCACUUUUUUCUCAUCCUAAAAAUUCUACAUAUACAGCAACAUCAAUGUAGGUGAAUCGUCAACGAUAAAAUUGUCUUUUUUUAAUAUUUCCUAACAAUUUUACCCUCGAAGCGAAUACUUCAUUUAUUAUUUUGAAUAAAUUACGGACAAAA